AAUUCUCAACCAUGUCUUGAUUCACUUCAAGGCAUGGCUUGGAGUUUGGGGGUUGCUGGUGGUGAAAUGCUGUCAGCUCUCCUGAAAUGCAUUAGCAAAGGGCGGGCAAGUCUUUGACGUGCAUGGCCUUCGACGUGAUAAUGAUCGUCGUGGCUGGAGCGUCGGACAUGCAUGAAUCGUUUCUUGCUUCCAAUAUCACUUAGGGACUUGGCCUCGAGUCGCUUUAGCUACUAGUCGGUCGUGAGGCUGACGAACGUUGGGGCGAAGAUCAGGCUUGGUCUGUUUCGAA
rnacentral:misc_RNA from 1 species